UACGUAGGGGGCAAGCGUUGUCCGGAAUCAUUGGGCGUAAAGAGCGUGUAGGCGGCUCGGUAAGUCCGCUGUGAAAGUCCAGGGCUCAACCCUGGAAUGCCGGUGGAAACUGUCGAGCUAGAGUCCGGAAGAGGCGAGUGGAAUUCCUGGUGUAGCGGUGAAAUGCGCAGAUAUCAGGAGGAACACCAAUGGCGAAGGCAGCUCGCUGGACGGUACUGACGCUGAGACGCGAAGCG
rnacentral:rRNA from 1 species